AAUUUAGUUAUCUGUCGAUCUUACAGCGUUGCUGAACAUCCCAAGACCCUGGGGGGGGAUGUUGGGACUCUUUGCUCUGCGGCGGAAGAAUAUUGCAGCAAGCGGUGGGCAGAGCCGCGUUCCCCGCCCGCCCUGCUCCUACGGGGUUUCCGCGUCCCCGAAGCAGAGGCGGCCGGGCCGCCGGGCUGGACCGGGAGGCGGAAGGCUGGGGCGCGCCGGACGGUUGGCAGCUCUGGCUUUCCCGCCGGCGAGUGGGACCAGGCUCGCCGGUCCCGCAGUGCUCGGUGCUGGAGGGGUAGGCACGUCCACACUCUGCACUGGAGGGGAAUCGGGCUGUUCCGCUCGUUCCCACCGCUACUUAUCUUGACGGUAGAGAGCCGCCUGGCCUUUGGCACGAGCGUUUAACAUCCUUCAGACCUUGACAGUGAAACUCCUGCUACGGAAAAUGUCGGCUACCCAGCAAGUCCCAUAAGAUCCGGUUUACCGUCCAACGUGCAGGGCGAGAAGAAAUAUGUAAUGUCCCCUGCAGAUGUCUCUGGAGUAGCCAACUCCAUUCUUCUCAUGUUGCCUCUGGUCUUCUCUCGCUCUCUUUUUAAAAUAAUGCUUAUAAUUUUAACAGGUGUGAGAAAUGCCUGAUAAAAUCAUUGUAAACUUUUGCUAAUGUAGGGGUAAUGUGCCUUGUAACUCAGGAAUUUAAAUGGAUGCUUCUGGCCUGUACAGCUCCAUGCUGCUUUGGGACUACACAGGUUUGGGUUAUGGUCUUUUUUUUUUUUUUUAAAGGCUUUUUGCGCUUUAAUUGUUUAUACAUAAUGAAUGUUGAUUUAUUGAAAUUGAGAGCAAUACAACCCUUGCUGCUUAAAUAAACUGCAUGAUUCGUAAAGCUCCAGAGGUUUUCAACUGUAGCCCUAACCCAGGCUCGUUAAUAAAAACCAAAAAUAGUAUUUUUAGUCAUUUAACUUUAAAAUACAGUCCUACCCACCCUGCAAGAUAACAGGAAUACUCAAGAAAACAUUUUCUCCUUAAUUCAGAAGGCCAACCUAAAGUCUGAUAACGGGGAAAAAAUGACUUAAUUUUCUAUAUUUGUGUAUUCAACAUGAUAUCUGGUUCUAAAUACUACAUUUUUUUCCAAAAAUCAUUUAUUUAUUUGAAAAUGAUCACGCUAGGAACUGUGACAAAAACUAAUACCAAGAUGACAGUGUACUUGGCCCUCAGUCUAGUGAUGAUGCUCCCUAUUUACCCUUUAUAAUGUUCAAAUCCAGAUUUGCGGUAAUGCCAGACAUUUUCUGAGAAUGGAGGUCAGAGAUCCUUGUUGGCGCGUCCAAAACCUACUAAAAAUCUCCCGGGAUCCAGGAAACUGAAGAAAAUACUAAAUGAGAAAAAUGGCCAACAAUUUAGUCUCACUUGAGUCUACAGGGUGAAAUCAAUGAACCAUAGGGUGAAAUCAAUCAACAACACCUAAUUGUUGAGUGUUUUCUUUAGGUUUAGCACUACUGUUACAUGCUGUGGAGGAUUUCCAGAGUCCCUUAACAGGAAAUAAUCAAGGGCUAAACUCUGGUUGAAGUCACAAUUGCUCAAGGGGUUUCAAGGUCAAACAGACUGAGGAGGAAAAGAAUUUUUUCAUUGCUGGCAGUAAUUCCUUAGACAUAUAGCCUGCAUUUACUUACUGAAACGGUGAGGAUUUACAUAAAGGACUUCGAAAAAAUAAAGGGGGUGGGCACUCUGCCAUCUUCCUGACUCCCGUAGAAAGGCUGAGGUGAUGCAUAACUAGCUGGUGUUCCCUGAGACUGCCUCUGUUUGGGAAAGCCUUCGCGUCUGAAGAGAGAAGAUGGUCCAGGCAUAGUGCCCCUUUGCUUGCUAGAGGCUUCUAUUUUUAUUUUCCUUUAAAAUUCCUUUGAAAAGUAACUUUAAAAUUUUAUACUCACAAUU